UAGGGAAUCUUCCACAAUGGACGCAAGUCUGAUGGAGCAACGCCGCGUGAGUGAAGAAGGUUUUCGGAUCGUAAAGCUCUGUUGUUGGUGAAGAAGGAUAGAGGCAGUAACUGGUCUUUAUUUGACGGUAAUCAACCAGAAAGUCACGGCUAACUACGUGCCAGCAGCCGCGGUAAUACGUAGGUGGCAAGCGUUGUCCGGAUUUAUUGGGCGGAAAGCGAGCGCAGGCGGAAUGAUAAGUCUGAUGUGAAAGCCCACGGCUCAACCGUGGAACUGCAUCGGAAACUGUCAUUCUUGAGUGCAGAAGAGGAGAGUGGAAUUCCAUGUGUAGCGGUGGAAUGCGUAGAUAUAUGGAAGAACACCAGUGGCGAAGGCGGCUCUCUGGUCUGCAACUGACGCUGAGUCUCGAAAGCAUGGGUAGCGAACAGG
rnacentral:rRNA from 1 species